rnacentral:rRNA from 1 species
GGGUCAGUAGGUUGGUCGUGCCACCGGUACGUACUGGUCUCACUGAUUCCUCCUUCCUGAAGAACCGUAAUGCCAUUAAUUUGGUGUUGCGGGGAAACAGGACUGUUACUUUGAAAAAAUUAGAGUGUUAAAAGCAAGCUAACGCUUGAAUACAUUAGCAUGGAAUAAUGAAAUAGGUCGAUCGAUCCUAUUUUGUUGGUUUCUAGGAUUGACGUA